GAUGAAGAACGUAGCGAAAUGCGAUAAGUAAUGCGAAUUGCAGAAUUUCCGUGAAUCAUCGAAUCUUUGAACGCACAUUGCGCCCGCCAGUAUUCUGGCGGGCAUGCCUGUUCGAGCGUCAUUACAACCCUCAAGCCCCCCGGCUUGGUGUUGGGGACCGGCCACCGGUGCCCUGCUGCUUCCGCGGCAGGCGCGCCCGGCCGCCCCCGAAAUGAAUUGGCGGCCCCGUCGCGGCCUCCCUCUGCGUAGUAGCACACAUCUCGCAGCUGGAGCGCGGCGCGGCCACUGCCGUAAAACGCACCAACUUUUUUUUACAGUUGACCUCGAAUCAGGUAGGAAUACCCGCUGAACUUAAGCAUAUCAAUAAGCGGAGGA
rnacentral:misc_RNA from 1 species